rnacentral:lncRNA from 1 species
GAACUCCUCCUAAUCCUGUGUGGGAUGGACACCUCACCACAAUCCCCAUGCACUGUCUGAAACCCAGAAACAUGCUAGUGGCUGGGCUCACUGUUCCAUGGAGGGUGGGAGGCGUGUCUCCUGUACAUUUCCCUGUUUGCAUUCUAUCCCACCUAUGCAUUCCCCCACCUCCCCCCGCAAUACUCUGACUGUAUAUUACUUACAAAUACAAAAGCUAUGAUUGAUUGUUAAGCACCAGAUGCAGGGCGCACGGACACAGUUAAACACUGAUUUCAGUACUCAGGAUACCCUUUCAGCUCUCUUUGUGGCAUAGAAGAAUGCUAGACAGACUUGCCCCAAUUCUUUUUGCGGAAACCUGUAAUAUACAUUCAAUAUGUACCCCCCCAAAAAAUCACAAUUUCCAUAUGCCCCCUCCAAAAGGUGCGUUCAGUUCUUAGGAGAAAAUGGAACUGGAAUGAACACACAGUAGCCAAACUAUCACAUCCUGUCUGUAUAUAUAUUUUUAUUAAGAAAAAAAUGAAAAUACAUUCUUUCCAUAUGUACAUUACAUACAGCGGAAUUCUACAUUUGUCAUUGUUCACCAGCUCACCCAUUCAUUUAUUCACAGAGCAGUGCUUACGUAUUUAGCAACCCAGGAAUCAUAACACUGCCAAGGGCCAGAGAAGGGAAAUUAACAUUCCAAGCUGAAAAAAAAAUCUGAAUAGCUGAGGCGAUGGGUCAGGAAGAGGUGAUAGAUGCAGAUGGACAAUCCUGUCAGUAUCUCAGAGCAUUAAUGUGAUUUGUAUCCUAAGCGCUCCGUCAGAUCUGUAUGAGUAUUCAGUACAGACCUCUACCUACUCAUGAAAAUGUCGCUGCAACUCACAGGAUGUCUCUCUGCAGGACCCUCGUUGAUUCAAACGUUCUCCUGUAACUCACAGUCCAGAUCUCCUAUGGCAGGGGUUGAAGAAUUAAGUCGUUUCCCAAAGAUUUCGAAGAUCACCUUCUCCCCUAAGAUCAGAUAUUCUGUGAAAAGGCAGCUUUAGCACCCUGCCGUGGUUCUGUGUUUCAAGGAAGCGUGCAUCAAUUGGUUCAAUAACUUGAAGAGCGAUGUAUUAGGUAAUUACACUAAAUGAAUUUUUAAGUCAACAUUGAGAAACGUGCCAUUUCGUAUCUACAAAGCCUGGAACAGUGUAGGUGUCUCAGUGGGAGCUGGGAUUUUGGUAUAGACCUCUUCUAUUUUCAGUUAAAAGUAGUUCACCUAAGUUAGCCCUACUUUUUUUUUUUGGUUAAACUUUAAGUAGAAGGAACCUUAUAACAUCUUCCAGUUGGAUCUCCCUUGCUUCCAGUUGUCAGAUGUAUUUGCUAGGUCGUACUUUUCAUCUUCCAAGAUGGCCACCCUGGUGGGUUUGUUGAUUAUUCUGUAUUACAACUGCUAGGUCCGAACACGUUCUAAAUAGAUUUGCUUCUCUCUGCAGCUGGGCACAGCAAGCGGAAAAGCGUUGUCUAACAUUAUACACCAAUGUAAUGCUCUCGUGUGGAGAAGAGAGGCAGCAAAGUCUGCCUGAAGUGCAGCCCUGGCAUUUGCAAGAGGCUGCUCUUGCACUAAUUUCAUUUUAAAAAGGGGGCAGGUGGGUGAUCUAUAAGGAAUCUGGAUAGUGGGAGGACACACUCUUUCCUAAUGGUGCAAAUUUAGAGACUGGAGGUGGAAAGGGAGGGGAGAGGUUUCAAAAAUCUUUGCAUAUGGAACAGCCCACUUAAUGAAGCAGUUUAUGAGGCCCCACCCUACCUCCUGCCCCUGCUCGGUUUCUCUUCCUAUUUGCAACGGGGAAGGAGGGCAGAGGAGACUGCAACUUACAAUAAACCCUGAAAGCUGACAACUAACUGUUUUGAC